UGAUUGCAAAGGAUGAAUAUCAAAAUCAAAUGGGUAAUUUGCAUCUGAUCUAUCUAUGAUGCUAAAACACCUUGGAGAACUGAUGCAAUUC